AGGAAAGGUGACGUCACAUGUCUGCUGUGACCACACUGUAAUGAAAACUACCGGAAGUAGCUGGGCGGGAAAUCUAUUAUGCAGAUUGCUACACGGUGAGGCUUGGAUCCCCUACAAUAAAGAGCUGACCGUGCAAGAUCGUCUGUACACUGGGAGCUGCAGCGGCAGAUUGCUGUACGAUGAGGCUUGGAUUCCCUACAAUAAAGAGCUGACAGUGCAAGAAUACAGUGCUUGUCAGACGGAUGUGAAGGGAGUCUUAUGACUCCAUGUUUCUUUCAUAUAG